rnacentral:rRNA from 1 species
GGAGGCAGCAGUAGGGAUCUUCCGCAAUGGCGAAAGCCUGACGGAGCAACGCCGCGUGAGUGAUGAAGGUCUUCGGAUCGUAAAAUUCUGUUAUUAGGGAAGAACAAGUGCGUAGGUAACUAUGCGCACCUUGACGGUACCUAAUCAGAAAGCCACGGCUAACUACGUGCCAGCAGCCGCGGUAAUACGUAGGUGGCAAGCGUUAUCCGGAAUUAUUGGGCGUAAAGCGCGCGUAGGCGGUUUUUUAAGUCUGAUGUGAAAGCCCACGGCUCAACCGUGGAGGGUCAUUGGAAACUGGAAAACUUGAGUGCAGAAGAGGAAAGUGGAAUUCCAUGUGUAGCGGUGAAAUGCGCAGAGAUAUGGAGGAACACCAGUGGCGAAGGCGACUUUCUGGUCUGCAACUGACGCUGAUGUGCGAAAGCGUGGGGAUCAAACAGGAUUAGAUACCCUGGUAGUCCACGCCGUAAACGAUGAGUGCUAAGUGUUAGGGGGUUUCCGCCCCUUAGUGCUGCAGCUAACGCAUUAAGCACUCCGCCUGGGGAGUACGGCCGCAAGGCUGAAACUCAAAGGAAUUGACGGGGACCCGCACAAGCGGUGGAGCAUGUGGUUUAAUUCGAAGCAACGCGAAGAACCUUACCAAAUCUUGACAUCCUUUGACCGCUCUAGAGAUAGAGUCUUCCCCUUCGGGGGACAAAGUGACAGGUGGUGCAUGGUUGUCGUCAGCUCGUGUCGUGAGAUGUUGGGUUAAGUCCCGCAACGAGCGCAACCCUUAAGCUUAGUUGCCAGCAUUAAGUUGGGCACUCUAAGUUGACUGCCGGUGACAAACCGGAGGAAGGUGGGGAUGACGUCAAAUCAUCAUGCCCCUUAUGAUUUGGGCUACACACGUGCUACAAUGGACAGUACAAAGGGCAGCGAAACCGCGAGGUCAAGCAAAUCCCAUAAAGCUGUUCUCAGUUCGGAUUGUAGUCUGCAACUCGACUACAUGAAGCUGGAAUCGCUAGUAAUCGUAGAUCAGCAUGCUACGGUGAAUACGUUCCCGGGUCUUGUACACACCGCCCGUCACACCACGAGAGUUCGUAACACCCGAAGCCGGUGGAGUAACCUUUUAGGAGCUAGCCGUCGAAG